rnacentral:rRNA from 1 species
UACAGAGGGUGCGAGCGUUGUCCGGAAUCACUGGGCGUAAAGGCGCGUAGGUGGCGACCCAAGUCUGUGGUGAAAGCUCGAUGCUUAACAUCGAGUCGGCCGCGGAAACUGGGUGGCUCGAGCACUGUAGGGGCAGAUGGAAUUCCGGGUGUAGCGGUGGAAUGCGUAGAGAUCCGGAAGAACACCGGUGGCGAAGGCGGUCUGCUGG